AAAUUAAUCGAGAAUUCCAAAGAAAAAGAAUGUGUCUCUCUCUUCUUCCUUUUCCCCAAAACAGACCACGCGUAUUGUUGAUUUCCAAGAAGGCCAGCGUAGGGUCACCGUAAGUUUUCCAAAACCACAACCAAACAAUCGAUCCUUUCUCUCUAUCUCCUCCUCCCUUUUCUCCAUCACCCACAAACUACAAACCCUAAUCGCCAUAGCUUGCGGCCAUGGCAGACGCAGCUGCCACACCUGCCAAAAAUCUCUCCUCGUUUUGAACUUCCAACCCAUCGAAUUCGCGAGAAUCAGAAAAGACAGGUCCCAAUUUGGUGCAACAAUUCAAAACCAAUUUCAAAUCCACGUUUUGAAGUCCGAAAAUCAUCAAAAUGGAGGCCUAAAGGCUGUGAAAUUUGGUUUUUGAUUGGGGAUUUUCUUCAUACGUAGUUUCACCCAUUGGAACUCUUUUCUUGUGUUUAAAUCCGGACUUUCACGUCCGGAUUUCGUGUAUAAAUACCGGCAUAGAGAAAUUCAAAACAGAGCUUUGGUGAGUUUGAAAAACAAGAGAAGAUAGACAGAAAAACAAGUAAAAAAAAGGGGGCGACAAAAACAGAAGUGAAAAUAAGAAAUUUGUGAAAGAAAAAGAGAGAAAGAGCAGAAGCAAAAAAAAGGAAGGAAAUUGUAGGUUCGUAUUCUGUUCCCAAUUAAAUCUGGGUUCCCGGAGUCCGAGUUCUUUGAUAAAUUCUUGACGGAAAGCCCCAGUUUUGCUGCACCCCAAAAGAGUUCCGCAAUGGAACUCAUCUUGACCCAAGCAUUGGGUCAAUCGCUAUUAGGAGCACAGAGCCUCGGAGUCCUGCAAAUUAGGAGUCUAAGCUCCUAACCGAAAUUAUUAUUAUUUAUCAUCUUUGAUUUAAUUGAUAUUGAGUUAUAUUUUAUAAUAAUUACUAACUCUCAUUGUUAAGAUUGUUUAAGGUAGAUUUAUGCGAUUAUAGAAUCCGAGCUACUCUAUUAUUUAUUGACCUUCUUAGACGUGAUUUUAUCAUCACGUAGUUCGCAAA